rnacentral:rRNA from 1 species
GAUGAACGCUGGCGGCGUGCCUAAUACAUGCAAGUCGAGCGAACAGACGAGGAGCUUGCUCCUCUGACGUUAGCGGCGGACGGGUGAGUAACACGUGGAUAACCUACCUAUAAGACUGGGAUAACUUCGGGAAACCGGAGCUAAUACCGGAUAACAUGUUGAACCGCAUGGUUCAACAGUGAAAGACGGUCUUGCUGUCACUUAUAGAUGGAUCCGCGCCGCAUUAGCUAGUUGGUAAGGUAACGGCUUACCAAGGCAACGAUGCGUAGCCGACCUGAGAGGGGGAUCGGCCACACUGGAACUGAGACACGGUCCAGACUCCUACGGGAGGCAGCAGUAGGGAAUCUUCCGCAAUGGGCGAAAGCCUGACGGAGCAACGCCGCGUGAGUGAAGAAGGUCUUCGGAUCGUAAAACUCUGUUAUUAGGGAAGAACAAAUGUGUAAGUAACUAUGCACGUCUUGACGGUACCUAAUCAGAAAGCCACGGCUAACUACGUG